CUGGUAGUCCACACCGUAAACGAUGAGAGCUAGUUGUUGGCAGGUUUACCUGUCGGUGACGCAGCUAACGCAUUAAGCUCUCCGCCUGUGGAGUACGGCCGCAAGGUUAAAACUCAAAGAAGUUGGCGGGGGCCCGCACAAGCGGUGGAGCAUGUGGUUGAAUUCGAAGCAACGCGCAGAACCUUACCCACGUUUGACAUGCCUGGAUGUGAUCAGAGAUGUGAUCGUUCCUUCGGGACCAGUGCACAGGUGCUGCAUGGCUGUCGUCAGCUCGUGUCGUGAGAUGUUGGGUUAAGUCCCGCAACGAGCGCAACCCUCACCCUUAGUUGCUAACAGGUUUGGCUGAGAACUCUAAGGGAACUGCCCGUGGCAAGCGGGAGGAAGGUGGGGAUGACGUCAAGUCCUCAUGGCCCUUACGCGUGGGGCUACACACGUGCUACAAUGGCAGUGACAAUGGGAUAGUCCCAAAAAGCUGUCUCAGUUCAGAUUGGGGUCUGCAACUCGACGCCAUGAAGUGNGGAUCGCUAGUAUGCGUGAUCAGCAUGC
rnacentral:rRNA from 1 species